GAACCAGUACCGUGAGGGAAAGGCGAAAAGAACCCCGGAGAGGGGAGUGAAAUAGAACCUGAAACCGUAUGCGUACAAGCAGUGGGAGCCUGUCCUUGUGAUGGGUGACUGCGUACCUUUUGUAUAAUGGGUCAGCGACUUAGUGUCUGUAGCGAGCUUAACCGUCUAGGGGAGGCGUAGGGAAACCGAGUCUUAAUAGGGCGUUGAGUUGCAGGCACUAGACCCGAAACCGGGCGAUCUAUCCAUGGCCAGGGUGAAGGUUAGGUAACACUGACUGGAGGCCCGAACCCACGUAUGUUGAAAAAUGCGGGGAUGAGCUGUGGAUCGGAGUGAAAGGCUAAUCAAGCCCGGAGAUAGCUGGUUCUCCUCGAAAUCUAUUUAGGUAGAGCGUCGUGUCUCACCCUGGGGGGUAGAGCACUGUUUGGGCUAGGGGGUCAUCCCGACUUACCAACCCCAUGCAAACUCCGAAUACCCAGGAGUGCAAUCACGGCAGACAGACGGCGGGUGCUAACGUCCGUCGUCGAGAGGGCAACAACCCAGACCGCCAGCUAAGGUCCCUAAUACCAGUUAAGUGGGAAACGAUGUGGGAAGGCUAAGACAGCUAGGAGGUUGGCUUAGAAGCAGCCAUCCUUUAAAGAUAGCGUAACAGCUCACUGGUCUAAAUAAGUUGUCUUGCGGCGAAGAUGUAACGGGGCUCAAGCCAUGAGCCGAAGCUUAGGAUGCGUUUAUCGCAUGGUAGCAGAGCGUAGUG
rnacentral:rRNA from 1 species